GAAACAGAUGACCCCUUCGGGGUGAUUCUGGCGGAAUGAGCGGCGGACGGGUGAGUAACACGUGGGCAACCUGCCUGUAAGACUGGGAUAACUUCGGGAAACCGGAGCUAAUACCGGAUAGUAUUUCCUUUCUCCUGAUUGGAAAUGGAAAGACGGUUUCGGCUGUCACUUACAGAUGGGCCCGCGGUGCAUUAGCUAGUUGGUGGGGUAAUGGCCCACCAAGGCGACGAUGCAUAGCCGACCUGAGAGGGUGAUCGGCCACACUGGGACUGAGACACGGCCCAGACUCCUACGGGAGGCAGCAGUGGUCAUAGC
rnacentral:rRNA from 1 species